rnacentral:rRNA from 1 species
GAUGAACGCUAGCGGCAGGCUUAACACAUGCAAGUCGAGGGGUAUAGUUCUUCGGAAUUAGAGACCGGCGCACGGGUGCGUAACGCGUAUGCAAUCUACCUUUCACAGAGGGAUAGCCCCAGAGAAAUUUGGAUUAAUACCUCAUAGUAUAGCAGUUUCGCAUGAAACCACUAUUAAAGUCACAACGGUGAAAGAUGAGCAUGCGUCCCAUUAGCUAGUUGGUAAGGUAACGGCUUACCAAGGCAACGAUGGGUAGGGGUCCUGAGAGGGAGAUCCCCCACACUGGUACUGAGACACGGACCAGACUCCUACGGGAGGCAGCAGUGAGGAAUAUUGGACAAUGGGCGCAAGCCUGAUCCAGCCAUGCCGCCGUUGGCAAGGAUGAACGGUCCAUGGAUUGUAAACUGCUUUUAUAC